AAUUAGGUGUUUGAAGACCAUAACUCCUCCAAAGACUUUGAAGAAGUGCCAGAAUGCCAUUAGCCUGUGGACCAGUUUUUAAGAACAGGUUCCUGCACCAGUAUUUCAACCAAGCUCUUGGGGUCUGGAUUGUCCAAAAGUAGUUGACAAAUAUGUGAAUGCUACUCUGUGAAGGUAUUAAGAUGCUAUGAAUAUGAUGAUAAUCAAGAGAAAAAAUACAAAAUUGAAGAAG